rnacentral:rRNA from 1 species
AGCGAACGCUGGCGGCAGGCUUAACACAUGCAAGUCGAGCGGGCACUUUCGGGUGUCAGCGGCGGACGGGUGAGUAACGCGUGGGAACGUGCCCUCUGGUUCGGAAUAACUCAGGGAAACUUGAGCUAAUACCGGAUACGCCCUUUUGGGGAAAAGCUUGCUGCCGGAGGAUCGGCCCGCGUCUGAUUAGCUAGUUGGUGAGGUAACGGCUCACCAAGGCGACGAUCAGUAGCUGGUCUGAGAGGAUGAUCAGCCACACUGGGACUGAGACACGGCCCAGACUCCUACGGGAGGCAGCAGUGGGGAAUAUUGGACAAUGGGCGCAAGCCUGAUCCAGCCAUGCCGCGUGAGUGAUGAAGGCCUUAGGGUUGUAAAGCUCUUUUAUCCGGGACGAUAAUGACGGUACCGGAGGAAUAAGCCCCGGCUAACUUCGUG